AGGACGAACGCUGGCGGCGUGCUUAACACAUGCAAGUCGAGCGGUAAGGCCUCCUUCGGGGGGUACACGAGCGGCGAACGGGUGAGUAACACGUGGGUGACCUGCCCUCAGCUCUGGGAUAAGCCUGGGAAAACCGGGUCUAAUACCGGAUAGGACUGCUUGCCGCAUGGUGGGUGGUGGAAAGUUUUUUCGGCUGGGGAUGGGCCCGCGGCCUAUCAGCUUGUUGGUGGGGUGAUGGCCUACCAAGGCGGUGACGGGUAGCC
rnacentral:rRNA from 1 species